rnacentral:hammerhead_ribozyme from 1 species
GUACUGAUGAAGAGUCCCAUACUAGGGCGAAACGGCUAUCCAGUAC